AGAGUUUGAUCCUGGCUCAGAUUGAACGCUGGCGGCAGGCUUAACACAUGCAAGUCGAGCGGAGAUGAGGUGCUUGCACCUUAUCUUAGCGGCGGACGGGUGAGUAAUGCUUAGGAAUCUGCCUAUUAGUGGGGGACAACAUUCCGAAAGGAAUGCUAAUACCGCAUACGUCCUACGGGAGAAAGCAGGGGAUCUUCGGACCUUGCGCUAAUAGAUGAGCCUAAGUCGGAUUAGCUAGUUGGUGGGGUAAAGGCCUACCAAGGCGACGAUCUGUAGCGGGUCUGAGAGGAUGAUCCGCCACACUGGGACUGAGACACGGCCCAGACUCCUACGGGAGGCAGCAGUGGGGAAUAUUGGACAAUGGGGGGAACCCUGAUCCAGCCAUGCCGCGUGUGUGAAGAAGGCCUUAUGGUUGUAAAGCACUUUAAGCGAGGAGGAGGCUACUGAGACUAAUACUCUUGGAUAGUGGACGUUACUCGCAGAAUAAGCACCGGCUAACUCUGUGCCAGCAGCCGCGGUAAUACAGAGGGUGCGAGCGUUAAUCGGAUUUACUGGGCGUAAAGCGUGCGUAGGCGGCUUUUUAAGUCGGAUGUGAAAUCCCCGAGCUUAACUUGGGAAUUGCAUUCGAUACUGGGAAGCUAGAGUAUGGGAGAGGAUGGUAGAAUUCCAGGUGUAGCGGUGAAAUGCGUAGAGAUCUGGAGGAAUACCGAUGGCGAAGGCAGCCAUCUGGCCUAAUACUGACGCUGAG
rnacentral:rRNA from 1 species